rnacentral:lncRNA from 1 species
GUUUAUUUUUAAAUUCUAAGUGAGUUAGCAUGGCAUUCGGCAGUUCCACUUACCACAUUCUGAGGUGAGACCUUGGGACUAUGAUGAUGAGCCCAUGAAGGACAGAGAUUCUUUGUUCUUGGCCACCUGGCUUUUGUGAGUGAAUCAGUGCACUUUGGAAAAUAGUGAUGAUGUAAAUUGAGUGAGAAGCCAAAACUUUCAGUGUCUCAUUUUUCCCAGUGAUGAACCUUGGGACCUGGGGUCCUCUGGCCCACACUUUUAUGUUCAAGUCUCCCAGAAUGUCUUACUUGACUCCUGAAGCAAGGAGUAUGAAAGCCUGCCUGGGUUGUGAAAAGAGUUUCUUGAUCAUUUCUUGUGGACAAUUGGUAUGCAUUCAUGCUCUUACCAUAGUAUCAAAGAAAUAGAAGAGAGGGCACAAAUAGCAAGACUUGAAGCUGUUGGAAAGCCAGGCCUCCCCAAAUAUUACAGGGCUUUCAGGGGACCUUACUGAGGUUAAUAAUAAGGACACAGACACACCUGUAUAGUAGGAGGCUGUAGUCCUAUCACAGAAAACACUACCUUGUACCUCAGGAUUUGUCUCUUUUGCAGUAGCUUUCUGCUUCUGCUAAGCCUGGUUUACCCCUCAACACUAUUAACUCUGAUUCUUGGCUAUCUUUGAUAUAUCCAAGAACAUUAACAUCAUUUAAAAAUUCUAAUUUUAUUCUUUAAACACCUACAAAUGUGGAAUCCCAUUGUUUACGUCAUUUGCAUAGUUGGGUGAUUCCAUCCUACCAUCUCUAAUGUCUUCUUUGCAGUGAGUGGAAGCCCAUCACAGCAGAAGAGAACAAAGCACUUUAACCUUUAAAGACACAGAAUUCUACCGUGGACCAUUAGUAAAAUGCGUGGGAAAAGUUGGACUGAGAUUGGGCAGAGAGGGAGCACCCUGCAGGAUGUCAUGCUCAGGAGACUCAGAGGGAGCACCCUCAAGGACCUCGUGCUCAGGAGACUCAGAGGGAGCACCCUUCAGGACCUCGUGCUCAAGAGACUCAGAGGGAGCACCCUCCAGGACCUCGUGCUCAGGACACUAAGAGGGAGCACCCUCCAGGACCUCAUGGUCAGGAGACUCAGAGGGAGCACCCUCCAGGAACUCGUGCUCAGGACACUAAGAGGGAGCACCCUCCAGGACCUCAUGGUCAGGAGACUCAAAGGGAGCACCCUUCAGGACCUUGUGCUCAGGAUACUAAGAGGGAGCACCCUCCAGGACCUCGUGCUCAAGAGACUCAGAGGGAGCACCCUCCAGGGCCUCGUGCUCAGGACACUAAGAGGGAGCACCCUCCAGGACCUCGUGAUCAGGAGACUCAGAGGGAGCACCUUCCAGGACCUCAUAAUCAGGAGACUCAGAGGGAGCACCCUCCAGGACUUGGUACUAGAGAGACUCAGAGGAAGCACCCUCCAGGACCUCGUGAUCAGGAGACUCAGAGGGAGCACCCUCCAGGACCUCGUGCUAGAGAGACUCAGAGGGAGCACCCUCCAGGACCUCGUGGUCAGGAGACUCAGAGGGAGCACCCUCCAGGACCUCGUGCUAGAGAGACUCAGAGGGAGCACCCUCCAGGACCUCGUGCUAGAGAGACUCAGAGGGAGCACACUCCAGGACCUCGUGGUCAGGAUACUCAGAGGGAGCACCCUCCAGGACUUCAUGCUCAGGACACUAAGAGGGAGCACCCUCCAGGACCUCGUGCUCAGGAGACUCAGAGGGAGCACCCUCCAGGAUUUUCAUGCUCAAGAGACUCAGAGGGAGAACCCUCCAGGACCUGGUGCUCAGGAGACUUAGAGGGCUCACCCUCCACGACCUCGUGCUCAGGAGACUCAGAUG